rnacentral:rRNA from 1 species
CCCAGACUCCUACGGGAGGCAGCAGUGGGGAAUAUUGCACAAUGGGCGCAAGCCUGAUGCAGCCAUGCCGCGUGUAUGAAGAAGGCCUUCGGGUUGUAAAGUACUUUCAGUCGGGAGGAAGGUGGUAAGGUUAAUAACCUUAUCAAUUGACGUUACCGACAGAAGAAGCACCGGCUAACUCUGUGCCAGCAGCCGCGGUAAUACGGAGGGUGCAAGCGUUAAUCGGAAUUACUGGGCGUAAAGGGUGUGCAGGCGGCUGAGUAAGACAGAUGUGAAAUCCCCGGGCUUAACCUGGGAACCGCAUAUGUGACUGCUUGGCUAGAGUGCGUCAGAGGGAGGUGGAAUUCCACGUGUAGCAGUGAAAUGCGUAGAUAUGUGGAAGAACACCGAUGGCGAAGGCGGCCCCCUGGACAAAGACUGACGCUCAGGUGCGAACGCGUGGGGAGCAAACAGGAUUAGAUACCCGCGUAU